CGCCGCAUAGCUUAACGGAUAAAGCACCCGUUUCCUAAACGGGAGAUUCCGGGUCCGAUUCCCGGUGCGGUGA
rnacentral:tRNA from 1 species